rnacentral:rRNA from 1 species
GACCCAGACUCCUACGGGAGGCAGCAGUGGGGGAUAUUGCACAAUGGGGGGAACCCUGAUGCAGCGACGCCGCGUGGGUGAGGAAGCACUUCGGUAUGUAAAGCCCUAUCAGCAGGGAAGAAAAUGACGGUACCUGACUAAGAAGCCCCGGCUAACUACGUGCCAGCAGCCGCGGUAAUACGUAGGGGGCAAGCGUUAUCCGGAAUUACUGGGUGUAAAGGGAGCGUAGACGGUUAAGUAAGUCUGGAGUGAAAGGCCGGGGCCCAACCCCGGGACUGCUCUGGAAACUAUUGAACUUGAGUGCAGGAGAGGUAAGCGGAAUUCCUAGUGUAGCGGUGAAAUGCGUAGAUAUUAGGAGGAACACCAGUGGCGAAGGCGGCUUACUGGACUGUAACUGACGUUGAGGCUCGAAAGCGUGGGGAGCAAACAGGAUUAGAUACCCUGGUA